UACGGAAGGGGCAAGCGUUGUUCGGAAUCAUUGGGCGUAAAGAGCGUGUAGGCGGUCCGGUAAGUCAGCUGUGAAAGUCAAGGGCUCAACCCGUUGAAAGCCGGUUGAUACUGUCGGGCUAGAGUCCGGAAGAGGCGAGUGGAAUUCCCGGUGUAGCGGUGAAAUGCGCAGAUAUCGGGAGGAACACCAAUGGCGAAGGCAGCUCACUGGGACGGUAUUGACGCUGAGACGCGAAAGCGUGGGGAGCGAACAGG
rnacentral:rRNA from 1 species